rnacentral:rRNA from 1 species
GACGAACGCUGGCGGCGUGCCUAAUACAUGCAAGUAGAACGCUGAGGUUUGGUGUUUACACUAGACUGAUGAGUUGCGAACGGGUGAGUAACGCGUAGGUAACCUGCCUCAUAGCGGGGGAUAACUAUUGGAAACGAUAGCUAAUACCGCAUAAGAGUAAUUAACACAUGUUGGUUAUUUAAAAGGAGCAAUUGCUUCACUGUGAGAUGGACCUGCGUUGUAUUAGCUAGUUGGUGAGGUAAAGGCUCACCAAGGCGACGAUACAUAGCCGACCUGAGAGGGUGAUCGGCCACACUGGGACUGAGACACGGCCCAGACUCCUACGGGAGGCAGCAGUAGGGAAUCUUCGGCAAUGGACGGAAGUCUGACCGAGCAACGCCGCGUGAGUGAAGAAGGUUUUCGGAUCGUAAAGCUCUGUUGUUAGAGAAGAACGUUGGUAGGAGNGGAAANUCUACCAAG